GACGAACGCUGGCGGCGUGCUUAACACAUGCAAGUCGAACGGUGAAGCUCGAGAUUGCUGGAGUGGAUCAGUGGAGAACGGGUGAGUAACACGUGAGCAACCUGCCCCUGACUCUGGAAUAAGCGCUGGAAACGGCGUCUAAUACUGGAUACGAGAAGGGUCCGCAUGGGGAGUUUCUGGAAAGUUUGUCGGUUGGGGAUGGGCUCGCGGCCUAUCAGCUUGUUGGUGAGGUAAUGGAUCACCAAGGCGACGACGGGUAGCCGGCCUGAGAGGGCGACAGGCCACGCUGCGACUGAGACACGGCCCAGACCCCUACGCUACGCAGCAGUGCGGAAUAUUGUACAAUGGGCGAGACGCUGAUGCAGCGACGCCGCGUCGGGUAUGACGGCCUUCGCGUAGUAAACCACUUUCAGCAGGCAAGAAACGAAAAUGACGGUACCUGCAGAAGAAGCACCGGCUAACUACGUG
rnacentral:rRNA from 1 species